GAAUAUCAUUGUCUCUCGUGUUCAGAACACCUGAAGCAGACAUUACAGCCCAUUUAAGGAGCUCAUUUGUCUUCGUUACAUCUCCUUCUUCCAGAAAACGCUGGAGGAGCAGCUGGAGAACCACAGGGAGGCUGAUCACAAGAAGCUCAGCCUCCGAGACCAGCACAGGAUGCUGGAUAAACUCUCAGAGUAAGAGCCAUCAAUGCCUGCAACAACCUGACACUUCCCUACAAAGGAAUGGAGAGGAAGAAAACACUGACGACAGCCACGUGAGCUGCCAGGACUGGUUCUACGACGGCAGCUUAUAACUCCACAAAGCAAAAAUAAAAUACUGUGUAUUAUGGAGAGUUGAUUUGUGUGUAAGAUGCCUUUAUUCGGUCAAUUUCAUCGGCAUUAUUGUCAGAAAAUGGCGAAAUUCUACAGACAAAAGCAUAAUUUUUUCAUGCACUGGUCAAUUUUGAGAGUUUGUGCUAUUUCUCUCCUUUUAGAAUAGAGGAAAGAAGACACAACAUUUCAGGAAACUUGUAACACAAAUUGUCUUAAAGUUUCUUGGUCACCUGUAGUGUCUCUGCUUAAAAACAAAAGUCUUCUGUGUAGGUUUUCUUCAAUUAACCGUAAAGUCCUGCUGUGUUGAUGUAUCCGAAAACCAUAGUAACACAGAAGCUCACUGAAUAACAAUCAGUGUCUGAAAGGAUGAGUCAAGUGAACGCCUCAUUGCUGCGUUAAGAUAUUCUGACUGUGUACACCCAUUGCUGAUAUUACCCUAUAAGUAAAUAUUGUAAAACUGUAAGAAGUUAAAAAAAGGAAAAA
rnacentral:lncRNA from 1 species